CACUUGAACCUAUCAUUUUCAAAAUCAUCUCUCCAUUUUCAACCUUCUAUCAAUUUCAUAGCUUUCGGAGAAACCGAGCGACACUGCAAAUCUCAGAACUCUGAAUACUUCUCCUCUGUUGAUCGUGAAAUGUUGAGAUUUCCCUAAGUUGACGGAAAGAGGGCGAAAAUGCCAUUGGAAGCAUGAAAUACUAUAUUUUGGCUGGAACUUUCUGUCUGGAAGUUUAUAAACCUCCACUUGGGCUGGUUGGUGGCCCUUGGUUCCAUUGUCAUUGGCUUGCCUAAAGAUCUUUUGGGGCAUGGAUUCUAUUAGGGCAUUAUUCAUAUCCUGCUGUAAUGUGUGACACUACUGCUUUACAAGAUUAUAUAGAUAAUGGAGUCCUCAAUUCCCUGUUAUGUAUUGCUCAAUGGUUUGAGAGAACUGCAUUUCACAAGUUUGAAGCAGACAUAAUUAGCAUAGUCCAUAAUUAGCUCAAAUACAGGAAUGAGAUUGGAAGGUUCAAUGUGCAGGCUCGGAAUCAAGAAUGCGAAUGGAUGGAGAUACUCUUGAGACUUUUGUGCUUUAAACUGUUUCAGAAAGUUUAUUUAGGCAGUAAAUGGUUGGAUAGAAUGAAAGAGGGCUAAGUUAAUUGAACAAGUUUAGAGUGUUUGGAGUCAUUCGCCUUGUUUCGAACUCGGUAGGGGUCAUGAUCAUGUGUUUCGAAUCUAUGUGCAAUGUUAGUCAAAUGUCUUUUUUUUGGUUCUAAAAUGACAAGGAACUUGAAUUGCUAUCAUAGUAUGUAUAGAAUUUCAUAUGUUAAUGAGAUAGAUAAAACAAAUCUAGUUCAAUCAAUUUUAUGAUUCUUUGACAAAGAAUAUCAUAACACCUGUGUCACCUGUCUUUUUUUAUAAAUGAAGGCAAGAACAAGUUUGAAACAUGUACCUUUAGAUAUAAAGGGUUAAUCAAACGUUUGUAGUUUAGAAGUUAUUUUUAAAAAAUAAAGUCAAAUUAGCUGCGUAUAAAAUAUUUUUUAAAGCAAUCAUAGAAAGUUUUUGGAAAUAAUAAUGUAAAACUUCAUAGUUAUAUGAGUAUUAAAGGUGUAUUUUCUUUUAUGGAAGUAAUAAU